ensembl:lncRNA
AUUAUUUCCAUUUUCUGAAUGAUGAAAGCAUAUUUAGUCCACAUUUUUCCUGAUUAUUGUUAAUUUUUUUUAUGUUUUAAUCUUAGUUCCUUCUUUAUGCAGAGACACUGAAUCUUUGUUAUAAGCAGGAUAUAGUGUUUUUUUUUUUCCUUUAAAGGUUAUGGAGAGAAGCAGGAGUAGGGGGUUAACUUUUCUAAGGCUAAUCUUUUCUUCUUUAAUGCCUUGCACAUGAUUGGUAUAAUUAGCUUCAAUUUCAAAUGACACAUAAACAUAGAGACCAUAGCAUUGUGAAUAGUUAGUGUAGUCCCAUGCUAUUAUUAUUGUUACUCAUAAUGUUUUUUCCAAACUUGUACUUUACAAAGCAACUCAGAAGGUUAUGAAGUAUGAAGUAUUUUGUUAUUAGAGUGGUAUAACUGAAAUAAUGGGCCAACUAUCAUGUCAACAUUACCUGAUUCGUUAAUAUUCAUUAACUGUAAAGUUGAAAAAGAAACUUUUCAUGAAGUCCUUUCAUGUUAAUCAUGAAUCACAUUUAACUAUACAAAUGUCCCCAAAUAAGCAUAAUUUAUUUUCUAUUUGUUGCCAGAACUAUACUAAUCAAAAGUAGUAGAUUUUGAUUUUGGGAAAUGUAACUAAUAUUUUUUAAAUAGCACAUUAGCUUUGAUAAUAAGUGCCAAAGGCAUUAAAGUAGCAAUUCCAGGAGAAACCCUUAGAAAAUUAAUGCGUAUUCCAUAAUAGAUGACAUUAACUAAAUAACCUUGUACAGUUUUCUAUGAGUGAUGUGUUUUUAAGUACGUGUACAGGACUGAAUGAUGUUCAUUAGAUACCCAAGUAUUUUUUAUGUUUAGCUCUUUUUUUUUUCUUUUGGUGUGACAUUAAUGUAGCUUUAUGUUGGUUUUUGUCUGAUUAUAUUGCUUUCUUAAUUUGUCUUAUGCUGUACAAUUUAGAACAUACAAGGCUAAUUAUCCUAAACUCUUGGACGCUAUUAUUGUUAUAUUAAUCAGAAGUGAAAACCCAACCAUUCCAAAGGAUUGCAAUUUCAUUUGCUGUAAAUGUGCUGCUUGUAUCAAACCAAUGCAUAGAAGUUACAUUACUUUUAUGUAUUUAUUUUAUGUUCUGUUUUGGACUGUGAUGUAUUUUAUUGAGAUACAUUUGUGACAAGUUAAUUUGGGUACUUUUCUUAACAUUGCUCCUACUUUUCUUUCCUGCUGUUUUGACAAUGCGCUUAUACUAUAUUUGAUGGUGCCUACUGGACAAAAUAGACACAACCAUUCAUGUUGGGACAGAAUAAGCAGUAAACCCUGAGACUCUCGUAAAAGGGAUUUUGCAAGCCUGCUUGCUUGUGUACGUGCAGGUGUGCAUAUUAUUUUGUAGCCAAGUGAAAGACAGACAUGCAAAACAGGAGUUAGGCCCAUGGAACUGUUGCAUGGAACAUGGGCCAAACUGGUACAAAGCACCUGCCACUUGAGCCAUAAAGCAAAUGAACCCACACUGUACAAUUAAUUGAAGUUCAUCACUGGGUUCCUGUAACUAGAGCCUCACUGGGUUGUCACCAAAGACCACUAGAGUGGAUGAAUGUGGGGAUGUUUGCAUUUGCGUUAGCUGGAAUUCAGGCUGCCAUUUCACAAAGCACAUUAGAGUACUUUCAACUGAAAGGAAAAAAUGUUUAUCCUUCAAAUCAUAUGACUCAUUGGGUUAUUCCCAAAUGUGUCUGCCAGAAAGUUCAGGAAACAAAAGAGACCCUUUCAGUUAUGAACAAAGCCACGGUAAACCUAAUGGCUUGCUCAAUGUGUCAAUUGUCCCAGCAACACAUACCUGUGAAGACUUAUGUAGACUGUUGUUUGCCCGUUAUUUCCUAUGGGUUCUUCUGGUCAGUCUAACCCUAAAAUGAAGGGUGUCCACAGGUAGAAUAGCACUGUGCUUGUGCAAGUUAGUUUUUCUCCAAAUAACCUGUGAUUGGCAGCAUAAAUACUAUUCAGUAAUUGUGUGGCCUGGGAGGAAAACCCCCUGACAUCAAGUGUAAGCACAUUGUAGGAAUUACUGGAAACAUCCUCUAAAUAAAAUUGUAAAUGUUUAUCAGGGGAAAAACGUGGUUUUGUUAUUGCUGGCAUCAUGUUGAUACCAUUAAUCCCUCAAAAAUAUUUCAAAUAUGGCGGAUUUAAUUCUGUACUUUCACUGUACAUGAAGGCUUGUAAAAUAUGGUCUUAUUCUUGGUCACUGAUGCUUUUAAAGCAUGUGGUCAUUUGUGUCAGUUUGGUCGUCUCUUAAUCGGUGUGGUCAGACUCAAACACACAACUUACAUUUUGGAAGCAUUCAGCAUCCAGUGGUGUCAGCAGGGACUGUCGUAGCAGCUGUUAAUGAGCACGCAUGACUGGAUUACUAUAGUAGGCUCAACCUCAGAUCCGCCCAUCCCUUUGUUCCCUUUUUUAUGAUGUGUAAACUUCUUUUUACUGAAAACAGCUAUGAGGCCCACCACCUAUGAUAUUUGAUACAGAAUAGAAAAGGGCUGACUGUCUUCUAAUAGGUUUCUCUCUUUUUUUUCAAGACUUCUCAUCUUCUAUCUAUAUGGGAGGAUUCACUUGUAGCUGGAUACCCAAAAUCUAUAGAUAUUAGUGAUGUUAAUUGGUGACAUUCAAUGGCCACAACCAAUUAUUAAAUGUCUUUGUGCUUUUGCACACCAAUGAUGCACAUUGUUUUGUACUGACCAUAAAUCUCCAAUCAUAAAAUGAACAAAUACAGAUGUCGUAUAAAGAAUUUUCGGGAGGUCAUAGACGCUUCGAUCUGUCCUCUAGGCUUUAUGUGUAUACUUGGCUUGCCUUCCUGAUAUAUGUAUUAGUCUUUAUUUUCUGUCACCAUGCAAUGCCUGUUUCUGUGACUACAGCGCAGCUAUAAAGCGCUUUGUACAAAAUAACUCAUAUUUCAACUAUGGCCAGUUCCUCUCUUCAUGACCUCAUUCAAAACCUGCCAUUCAUCACCAUUUUUUAUCUUCUUUUUUUUCCUCAAUCAACCAAAUCACUACAGUGAAGUAUUACAGUUGUACAGUUCCAUGAAUUAUACCAACUCUUAAUGUUGCUGGUCAUGGUUGCUCUGCUGUAUCUUUUUAUGACAUUAUUUUUUACAUUCUAGACAAUAUAUUGUGACUCUGUCCUAUGCAAAUAUGAGAAUUAACAAGAAUUUGUCAAAUAAUGUAUGUGUCAACUUGUAUGCAUGAAAUAGUGAAGUUUACAUUUGAAAAUAAAUGCAUAAAUAAUCAGCUUUA